ACCGAUGAGAGGAGUUUUACUUGGACUUUCAACAAGUUUGGUCGGUCACCUUGGUGUGAAAGUCAUAAGGAGAUAAAAAGGAGUAGGCAGCA